AUACGGAGGGCACGAGCGUUGUUCGGAAUUAUAGGGCGUAAAGCGCGUGUAGGCGGCUUGGUAAGUCGGAUGUGAAGGCCCGGGGCUCAACCCCGGAAUUGCAUACGAAACUGCCUCGCUAGAGUCUCGGAGAGGAGGGCGGAAUUCCCGGUGUAGAGGUGAAAUUCGUAGAUAUCGGGAGGAACACCAGUGGCGAAGGCGGCCCUCUGGACGAUGACUGACGCUGAGACGCGAAAGCGUGGGGAGCAAACAGGAUUAGAAACCCCAGUAGUCC
rnacentral:rRNA from 1 species